GGAAAAAAAUCUAAAUAUAAAAAUGAAAGUGGAAUUGAUAAUCCAAAACUUUUAAUUUAAAAAUAAACGCGUAAUGUAGCAGCUAUAUCAUAGGCGCAUUUUAUUAAGAAUGAUGUCAAAGACAAGCAUUAUUAAGGAUGGAAAAAAGAAAAGACAUGGAGGAAGUUAACAGUAUUAAAUUAUGUUGUACUAAUAAGUCUGAAAAUUCUGGUCACAUGGGUAACUUGGAGCAUGCCAAUCUUUGUAUACAAAUAAAUUUUUCCUGCACUCUGGACUAACUGUGCUUUCUACAUGGAAUCUCUUUCCUUUGAUUUUUGAUGGUUCCUUCUUGUCAGUGAUGUCUCAGCUUAAAAGUCACUUUCUCAGAGAGGUUUUUGUUUUGUCUACCCAUAGCUUCUCAAAAUCCCUCAGCCUGCCACUCAGCAUAAUAUCACACUCUUUUAAUUUCACCUGGGCAUUUAUCAUUAGCUGAUAUUUUAAAAUUUUAUGUGUUAGUUUAUUAUCUGUCUUCUGAGAAUAUGUUUCUUUCAUAUAUAAGGACAUACAGAGGAUUCUGUGUGUCUUUAUUACCCAAUGCACAUAGAACAAUGACACAUAGUUGGUAUCAAUAAAGGUCUUAAGUAAAUAGUUUUUUAGGAAAAUAAACAUGAGAAGAAUCAAAAAAAAAUAUAUCCAAUAAUCAUGGUAUUAGCUCAAAAAAAUAGUUCCAGGCAUGACAGUUUGCUGUCAAACACUUUCAAGCUUUCUAUAACUCAAAACUCUUCAUGUUAUGUAAAAUGUUCCAUAGCCCAGAAAAUGGGCUAUCAAUUGAUCAGAUAAUUAUAUGCUUAGAAAACCUAAAAUAAUACAUUUUAAAAUUCUUAAAACCAGAAGAAAUGUAAGUCAAACAUUCAGAUACAAAAUAAAUAAAAAGAAAUUUAUAUAUUAGCAAUAACCAUUUAGGAGAUAAAAUUUCAAUUAACAUAUCAAAGGAUAUUGUUGAAGAUGCACAAGAUUAUUCUUAAAUUUACUUAAGUGUACGGGAAAGAAAAAUUUGUAAAACAAUACCAGUGGAGAGCUGCUGGUUUUUAAAUGGAUGAGGAUUUUUUCGUAGUUUUAAAAAUGCUUCCAAAAAUAGUAAUAGUUAAAAUUGUGGAAUUUGUUAUGAAAAUAAUAUGGAAGUGGUGGAAGAAUAUACUUAUUAGUAGGACAGUUGCUAGUAUACAAGUAUACAGUGUUUGGUGGUGGAAGGAUAAGAUCUUAACGAGAAAAACUGUUUCCAACAAUUUUGGGGAAAUAUUGCCUACUUGGAGAUAAAAAUAUAUAUGUUACAUUCACCUCUUAUACUGUAAACCAAAGAUUGCAAACUGGUGACCACCCUUGUACUAUAACUGGGCCACAAAUGUAUAUGGUUUGUUGCAUCGUAUUAUAACACUCAAAAAAAUUUAACACAAACUAUAAAUUUUUUUUUUUUGUUUUCUGUUUUUUAAUGUGGGAGGAAAAAGUAAAACAGAAGAUACAACAACACUGGACUCACAUUCCCAGAUGGCAGCAUUUGGCAAGAACAGAGGAGUGACAGCUCCCCUGGUGCUCUGCAAUUUGGCACAAUUCUUCCCACCUCCUGUUUUAUGCCGGUUUGCCUCACACAUUUAUGUGAAUGGCUCCAUUCCCAUAGCCAUUUGAGAUUCAAAACUUCAGGUGGGUCAAGAGUUGGCUACAAAAGAUAAAACUCAGAAAUAAGUGAGAAGAAGAUACAGGUGAAUAUUUAACUCAUUCUCAUGAAAUGGUGUAAGCCAAUUCAAUCUUGUAUAACUCUUAGGUUAUUUUUAAAAAUUAGUAGUAGCCUCCAAUGUUCAGAGGUGGAUGAAGUUCAACUACUUCCCCACAACCUAUCAGGUUAUAAAGAAAGCAAUUGCAGAUCAAAUUCUGCCACCCAUACAUCCAUUAGAAAGCAUGCAAAAAAAUCUUACUAGGGAUCACGGCUUGGUGCCAUCCUUAAGUGAGUAGGAUAUGACUCUCUGAAUGCUUGUGGAAGUGUCUCUGAAAUCUUUUAUUCAAUAUAUGUAUCUCCCAUACCAUUAAUUUCAUCAAUAAGCACCAAUUUCAUCAAAGAUAAAUUAGAUGCAGUACAUAUAGUCUUUGAAAUGUGGCCUUUCUGAUUAAAUGCUAAAUAAUUACCUUUUGUAUGAGCAUUCCUGAUUAGGGCAAAUGAUCUCAUAUAAAGCAUAAGUUAAAUCAAUUGUCCCUUAAAUAAUAGCACAUUACCUAUGCCAAAGUUUAAAAAAUAAAUUAUAGAGACCACAACAUUGGUGUUUUGAACAAAAGUACUUUCUAAACAUAGAAGAAAUGGAAGAAAUUACAAACGAAAAGGAUAACAUUUUUGACGUCACAAAAUUGGCAAGCUUUUGCACAUCAAAAAUACCUUAAACAAAUAAAAAGGGAAUAAAAAAUUGUUUGAAAAUAUUAGUAGCAAAUAUUUCCUAAGCAAAAUUUCUCUCUUGUUCUAUUAUAUACAAUAAAACACGAUUCAAAACUUUAUAUAUGUGUGUACAUAUAUGUGUGUAUGUAUGUGUAUAUAUAAACAAAAGAUUGCAAACUGGCCACCACCCUUGUACUAUUAUUUAUAUAUAUAUAUAUACACACACACACGCAUAUAUGUAUCUGUUUUCCUCUUAGUGUUUUUGUAUGUUACCUUAUUAUACAAGAAUGGUUAAAUGGAUUUUCACUGAAUAUGUAGAAUUUAGAAGUUGCUCUGGAAGAAGUGCUUUCUUUCACUCUAGCACUCUCAUCUUGCAUCUAUGCUGUGUUACUGUGGCUGCUGAUUCUCUUGAAGGUUACUCUGCUGACCAGAUUGUCCCCUGAUCACCAGUAGUGAAAACUCAUCUUGAUCUUGGGCAACAGAAACUUUCUCCUGCAGUGCAAGUGACUAUUUUUCUGUUUUGUUUUUUGAUGGGAAGGGCAGUGUUUUUUGUUUUUCGUUUUUUCUUUUUUGGGGUGUGGGGAGCAGCAUGCAUCAGUUAGCCACCACUCACUGAGAGGCACCUUUUCUUGACAUAGGAGGAUGCCACAAACACUGGAAUGAAUACUGGAAGCUCCUAAAAGUAGCUUAUCUUUCUUCAUGGUUGGUGUUGUUGCUACUUGCACAGUGAACAGAGGUGCUCAGCAGCCACCAUGGUCAGGGGUAGCUUUACAAUAACAUCUUGGUUUCAGCACAAUGCCUCCAGCCCCAGAGAGUGAAGGAAGACCCUUCCUCCCCCAGAGAAAGACCCACCUCAUUUCUUAAUCUACUACUAACCACUUCCCAGAAUGUUUCAUCUUGAGAGAAUUCUUUCUUUUAUCAAAAAAGAGGGGUUCUGCACCAAGGUUCAACUGGUAAUCAUAAGAUUGCUCUACAUGGAUGCAUUUCCCAAAAUCUGUGUUAUUCAGUCAUGCAGUGGACAUCUGUUGUUUAUGCCUGCCAAAAAUUCAUUUCCCUUUCUUUUGAAAUGAUGCCCUGAACUUGUACUGGAAAAGCUACUUCUUCACUAUUGGCAGCCAUAGAACUGCCAAUCAAGAUGUCCCCAUUUCUCCCAGCCAAGGGAUAGACAUGUGACCCAAGUGAUACCAUCAGAUGCUUUUCUCUCCUUGAAAUUUGGAGCUCAUGUGAAAUGCAGAAAAAGAUGGAAAAAGCAGUUUGUGAUGAUUAAUCCCAGCUGGCCGUGACUGUCCAUUAGUUUCUCCUCUCCCCAGAGAUACUUUGGCUCAUGACUUCUUCAAGACUGACCCUAAGACUGUGUAAAGGUGUCCUAUAUUCUCCACUCCUCUUAUGCAUUCCUAUGUGCUUGUUAGGCCGAGGUGGUUUCUGUUUCUUUCACCUAAGGAAUCCUAACUGAUACAAGUUCUACCCAUGAUUGCACUUUUAUAAAAAAAUUCUCAGCAAAGAAAGAACACGAGGAUACUCUCUCAAUCUGAUAAAGGGAAUCUAUAAAAGUCUAUGACAAUAUAUUGCCUUAGGUAAAUUUUCUCAGCAACAUAUCAACCCUGAGACAAGAAUGUGUGUGUGUACAAGUGAUUUGUAAAGAAAGUACUUGCAGGAGAUUCCAGGAAGGAAAUAGUGUCAGCAGGACAAUAAUACAGGAGAAGUCAGGUAAGAGCCUCAACCUGAUUUUGUGGAAACAUUAAAUUCUCUGAAAUGUAAAAUUCACCACAGCAUUUUCCUGAUUGAAGAAGGAAGAAGACCAAGCUUUCAUAUUUUUGCAUCAGUAAGUAAUCAUCCAAGGACUGGGGAUGUGGGAGGUACAUAAGCUCCCAGGAACUUUCAGCUCCUUUGCUCUUAGCCUGUAGUCAAAAUAGCUUCAGCUGUCUUCAGGCAGUUUUUGUAAGAGUCUGAGGUAUAGGCCAGAAACUGGAGGAGGGCUGCUCAGGAAUGGUAAGGUCAAUCCAAAGAGAUCUAGACAGAACGCUGAGACUCUCCUGGCUCUACAUAUGUCAAAAUGCAAGAAUGGGAGUAAUAACAAUUUAAGAAUAAAAUUUGAAUCUGUUCAAGUUUACUUUCUAAAAACAAGUCACUCACAAGUGUUGGUACUUUAACAUCUAGCAGGUGGCAUCCUCCCUAUCUGGUGGCUACCUUUUGUGUCACAACAUGGUUAUAUCUAACUAGCUAGAACUUAAUUUCUCUUUCUUUUUAGAUUAGUAACAUAUUUGUGCCUUAAUUCAAACUCAGUUUUUCUGUGAUUGUAUUUGCAAGUUAGCACAAGUACCAAUGACAUAAGAGAAUAAGAGUCAUUUCAAAGUGAAUACAAUCACAGUUUAAUUAACCUUUUCAGGUCAGCAUGGCUUCUAAAUUAGGUGUGAAGAGUUGACUUCUGAUACUAUUGGGCUAUUCGAGGUGACCCAGGCCAUCCUGAAAAAAAUCAAGAGAGAGACAAUUUCUUACGGAUUCCCUGAUUUCAUAGGUGCCAAAUGGACCCUUAAGUCCUCUCCUAAGCCCUGCAAAGCCUUUCCCUGAAGGGUGUCUAAAGCACAGAAAAGGCCAACUGAGGGCAAGGCAUGAGGCACAGAAGUAGGGAAGCUUGUAUUUGGCAGCCACGGUCUCUCUUUUGUUUGAGUCUCUUUUUGCCCCCUCUGGGUGUCUUGUAAAUGUUUGCCUCACCUCUGUGCUUCUUCUCUACCAAAAAAGAAGAAAACUAAUACGGAGUUUUAACUACGUUCACCAUAAACUCUAUGGUGCUAUGUGUAAAAUGGUUAAAUAGAUACACACUCAACUGCUGUAGUCAGUGUUGGCAUAGGAUGUGUCAUACAUGAUAUUCAUACUUUAGUCAAUGUAAAAGUUGUUAUUACCCCUCCAGAGACAACUGCUCUUGCCCAAAUUUGUGCAACAUAAUACCAAUGCUCUCUUGAGAAGUUUCUUCUCUUCCUCCCUGCUUCCUUCCCUUCUUUCCUUUCUUCCACCCAUCCAUCCAUCUUAGAAAGAAACAGAUAAACAGGGAAAGGGAGGCGGGAGAGAGUAAAAGAGAGAGAGAGAGAGAGAGAGAGAGAGAGAGAGAGAGAGAGAGAGAGAUCAUGCACACACAAGCACACACGAACAUUUCAAGGUUAAGAAAUAAGGCAGGCUGAAAUUAUUUUGUGGCACAAAUUAGAAGAGUCAACUCUCUGUAGAAAUCAGAUGAUUAGUGAAAUUUAAGCAUUUGUAGAUACAAAAAUGAAAGCCAGUCUGAAAAUAGUAAUGAGGGCUUUUAAAUAAGAAAGACACAAAUCCCAGGGUAGGUGGCCUGAUAAAAACUAUCAGGGCAAUAAAUGUGAAUAUAAGAGGAUUCCAGACAGGAGCAGUACAGAUACCAGCUAUCUUCAUUCAAACUGGCUAAGGAGGUCUCAUAAGCUCCUUAGUAAAAUAUAGCUAAAAGUCUAUUUUAGAGCCCUGCUAUAUGAGUUCAUCAACUUCCAUAUGUAUAUGUUUGUAUUUAGUUAUGACAAAAUAGAUGAAUGUCUGAUUAUGUAUACAUAUAUACAUGUAAACUGCAAGAGAUUUUAUGGAAAGAGAUACGGCUAUGACUAGUCAGGAUAGGGCAUCUCAAUCACCUUAAUUUGAUUCUUAACGGUACAAUACCCACGAAUCCAGGAAAAAAUAUAUAUAGAGAAAACAAAACCAAAUAAAAUAAUAUUUUAUUACUAUCUGGGGUUGGCUCCACACUCGCAUGGAGAUCUUGGGUGGGAUGAGCUUAGAUUAACCAUUCACUGAUUCUUUUGGCUUGGUUGAUUGGACCUAUGUAGUCUAGGAUAAAAGUUGAGUGGAAGACCUACUUGCUUUCUUUGCUUCUACUCCAAAGUUUAAAUCUGAAUUCUCAAUGUCAACACUCAUCGAGUCAACGAAAGCACACCUCUAACAACAAGCAGUGGAGGAAAGCACUGAAGGCUAAGAUAGUAUUUGGCUCAAAGAGUAGGGCAGAGCUGGUUGGAUUCCCAUCCUCUGUGUUUUUUGGGUUGGCUAUGAGGGGACCUCAGGGGAGCUUCUUUGGCUGUUCUUAUGCAGCUGGGCGGAAAACUAGCCAGGGUUAUACAACAUGCACCAGACACAGCUUAGCUCAGUUACAUAAGGCCAGAGAUAUAAAGUACAUAAAGUUGAUAUUUUUUCUCUAAAACCGAACAAAAUGAACCCCUCCUUUUAAUCAAGAAUGUCCUCUGUUCCCACAAAAGAAGUCCCUUAAAUGGAUUUUACCCUCAAAUUAUUCCUGACUAAACAUUGAAAUUCUAUAAUGGUACAGGAACAUAGAUUUUCUUUUUGCCUCUUUUCCUGCUGUUGGAACUGUUGUUCAGGACUUCCAAAGUGUUAGUAUGUCAGCUCCAGAUUUAGAAGAGCUCUGAUGAAUUUAUUUGUUCAGUAGCUUUCCCCCUUCUUCAUGUGCAGCUCUCAUUCAUUUGUAUUUUCAUCCACCUGGUUCGGAUGGGAGCUGACAGUCAUUUGCCCGUGGAUGGGAAUAUUCCCCAAACUGAGCAAACCAGAAUUUCUUUCCAGGAAGUGAAUCUCUUUCUAUUUCUUCUCUAAUCAAGAACCUUGGGAUGUUCCCCUUGAUUAGUUAGUUAGGAGGCAUUCCACAUAUUUACUGUAUUGCAAAAUUUAGGAAAAUAAAGCUGUCACCAUCCAGUUCCCCAAAGUAAUAGAAAUGAUGAGAGGUAGGGGGAACGUCCCAAGAAUAUUACCAUAUUUAGAAGAUGCCUUCAAUAUCUGUUUUAUCCCUGAGGCUAGUUCAAUACUUGUUCUCCCAGAGUUUUGGUUGUUUGGUAAUUUUCUAAGUUCUGAAAAUGAGACAAAUAUCUUCGCAAAAAAAAAAAAAUCUUCCUUUUUUCUUAAGCUAGUUCAAGGUGGGUUUCUGUCACAUAUGUCAGAUACCAAGACUUACAUUUGUUUUAUUUUAUCCCAUGAAUACAUUGCUACACCAUUUCUAACUGGGGCUUCAGCUGCAAACUUUAUAUUGGGAAUUCUAGUUGAUGAGACUGGGCCUUCAGAUUGGGUUAGAAUGAGUGACCUAUUUAUAAAACUUGCCAAAAGUUGUGGACUUUUCUUACUCCACUAAAAUCUACCUCGGGGUUUUUAUUGCACGGCAGGGACUGCUAGUGGUUUGCCAUAGUUUGCAUUCUAAUUUUCUUUCUUGUAAUUAAAACCGUGGAUUUUAGCUGGACAUUUGGUUCCCUGGAAAUAAGGCUUUCUUUUCUAAUCUUCCUUGUGGCUAGGUAUGGCCAUGUGACUAAGUUCUGGUCAACAAGACAUAAGCAUAAGUUUUUGGAUUUUUGUUUAUAGUUUCACAAAACCCUCUGUAAUGGUCAUCUGACAUACGCCUUUUGCUUCCUUGCUUUUUCAGCUGGCUGUAAUGCAGUCCAGAUGGAACUUGACCAGUUUUCUUAGGUCAUGAGGUGGAAGUCAUGAGCUAAGGUUGAUGUAGCUGGGUCUACUCUUCUUUGCCUCAUCAAUUAAAAUGCCGUAUGCAUACUCUCAACUCCUAAAUAUAUAUCUCUAGCCCAGACCUCUCUCAAUGGAUGGAAUUUAAUAUCUGAAUGCCAUCAACAUCUCCACUUGAAUGUCUAAAAUGUCUCAAACUGAACUCCUGAUUCUUGCCCCAAAUCUCUCUGUACUCAUAGUUUUCUCCAUCUUAGUGGAUGACUACUCCCAUUUUCUGGCUAGUUAGACCAAACACCUUAGAGUCACAUUUCCACAUUCACUCUGUCAGGAAAUCUUGUUGUCCCUACCCUUCAAAACAAAUCUCAGUCUAACCACUUCUCACUGAUACUGCAGCCACCAUUUUAGUCUUAGCUGCAAUGUCUCUUGCCUCAGUUACAUGGUAGCCUUUUGAAAUCUACAUCAGGGCAUGCCAUGGCUCUACUCAAAACCCUCCAAUGGUAGCCCAUUGUCCUCAAAGGGAGAGCCUGACAUAAGCUGGCUCCACUGUGACCUCUAUGACCUCAUUAUCCUAUUCCUCUACCCCAGCUCAGUCCUGAAGCAUAGCUCAGUCCCAUACAGGCCCUGUAGUGCAUAUCGUUAGGUUUUUUUUUUUUUUUUUUUUUUUUUACAAAAAACAUGAGACUGAAAUAAACUUCAUUCUAGUUUAAGUCACUGUUACUUUGUUUAUAGCCAAACUAACCAUAAGUGAUAAAAUAUUCUGGUUGGAAAAAAUUCCAGCUGAAGUCACAUCCAAUAGCAAGAAGACUCAGAGAAUAAUUUAAGGGUCUUCAGUGACUAGAAAGCCCUACAAUGACUGAAAGCUCUUAGCACAGUUAGCAAAUAUUGUGCCUAUUUGUUUCUUUAGUUGUUUGGGGUUUUUUUUUUAGUCAUCUUAUUCUUCCUACUGAAUUAUAUGCUCUGCAAAGGCUGAGACCAUGACUAUCUUAUCAUCAGUGUCUACCACUGUGCCUGGCACAGAGUAGAGAGCCAACACAUAUUUGUUAAGUGAAUGAGAAGGAUAUGAAUGAAUUUAGGAAAAAAAAAUCGAGAAUUUGAGAAAUCCUUGAGGUAAUACUAUUUCAUAAUGGUUCCUAGACUGAAUUGAUUAUUAUAGUUAAGAUUCUGAUGUUCAAAAAAAGAUUACACAAAGUAGCACUUCUUAUAAAAUCUUGUUUUAAUUGUUCUAUUUAUAGAGCGUGGGUGGCAUGGUAUGCUACAUAUAAUGAGCAGAAUUCUACGAUGACUCUCAAUGAUCUAUUUCUUUGUAUUACUCCCAACCAUUGAGUGUGGGUAAAACUGUGAAUAUGAUAUCAC